CUUAUGCUGUAAAGGACACAAUGAGUCUGUUUCAAGAUGACAGCCACAGUUCUGUGGACAGAGCCAGUUCUAGCUCCUCUUCAUGUGAAAAGAAACACAGAUCACUCCUGCUCGCAGAAAAAGCCGAGAUGCCGCAGUCAUGAAGUAGCACAACGACCAGUUCAAUGAACAAAUUCCUAUUACCCCAUAAAUGCCUACCAUCCCCAUCCUUUUGGCUUACUGUUUAUAGCUCCGCUUACUUAUUAAGUCUGGAAGAAACAAGGGAGACACAUUCAUUAUGUGCUUUCUGGCACUACUGGGAGCACAUGGAAAGCAAGUAAGACCUAACAUCUUAUUUGCACAUACACUGAAGGCCCACAGUCAGCUCAGGCACGGACCUGAAAAGGGGAUUUUAAGGAGGAAGUGCAGAAGUAGAUUCCAGGCAGCGAGGACCAAGUCAGACAAAGCUGCCAAAACUAUAGCCACAAGUGGCCCCAGGGAGAGUUUGGAGAGGCUGGUGUGAUGUUUAUUGCUCAAACUUCAGUGCUGGGUGGUGUGAUGGAGGGCAGGAACUGCAUGCUGCUGCCUGGGAGCUCAGUAGCAGUAUCUAAAGAUAUCUGUGGGCUCAGCGUCUCCAUCUUGAUCUUGGUGCUGGAGGGAGCAGAUUGUGGUUCCCUUAUCAGUUUUACAAGGAACCACCUUUGCUUGAUAGGCCUAGCAAGUCACACAGCCACAAGGCUCUGCCUCGUUCUCCUCUUUUUACUAAACACAGACCCAAUUCGCAUCCGCAUUAGCUAACAGUUCCCUAUCCAGGGACAAGCAGGAAUAAAAGGUGUCAUAGCAAUGGGAGGUGCAACGUGGUAUUAGCUCCUGGGCGAGCUGAAGACCUACUGGACACCAUUUGUUUUGCAGUGUUUUUCUCCCCUUUUCCUGGCAGGGACCACACAUUGGCUAUUUUUGAGCCCUAACAGUAAAUGCGACUCCAACACAGACAAAUGCAGUGAUGGGGUGGAAAAAAACAACUGAUAUACUGCAGUCUCCUGGUUCUAUGCAGUAUAUAGGCACAAACAAGGUAGAGCUUGUAUUGAAACCUGACUGCACAGGAAUCCAAGCGUGUCUUAAAUCCACCUGUCUGAAGCUCCAGCUUCCAUCUCCGGGUAGCUGCAUUUCAGGUACGAGCAAACUUUUAUAUAUGUUGGUUUUGUCGAGCAUUCCAAGUCAUUUUGAAAUCAGUGAAAUUCAUAAUACAUGUUAGCAGAUUUAUUAUUUCCAGACCUACCAUUUAGUUUACCAAGCAGAACACUGUCACCACUAACGGGAGGCACAGCAAAGCUAAAUGAAGAAACAGCCUGAGUUAUCUCUGACCUCAAAUGAAAAUCAAGACCCCAUCUCAGGGUCAAGGUCAAAAGGAAGAGUUGGGUGUAAAUGCAGAAAGAGCCAGACGGCUUUUUAUCAUACAGUUGUUGUAAUGAGACAUUUACUACUUUAAAAAGGUUUAUCCACCUGUUUCAAUUUACUGCAAGUGCUCACAAUCUAUGAUGAAUACCAACAACAACAAAAAAUCAUUGCCAUAUGGAUGCCUAAUUCUAUGUCAUACAUCUACUGAACACACCAACCAUAAAAAUACUCAUUCUCUGUCCACCUAAGAAAAUUUUGUAACUGUUGCUAUCAUUCUUAUUGGAAAAAAAAAAUAUGCAACUGUCCCAGCAGACAGGACGGUCUAUGACAAACAUAUAUAGAAAGCAACAAAUCUUUAAAAAUAUCAGUAGCCUUUAAAGACCAUACAUCUGUUAUGCUAUUGCACAGAGUGUCAAAGAUUAUCUUCGCUAUUGAAAGCUCGAGCUUUUCAAAAGCAGUGCUUAUUCAUUUGUAGAUGUUGAAUUCAAUUUCUC